rnacentral:rRNA from 1 species
UACAGAGGUCCCGAGCGUUGUUCGGAUUCAUUGGGCGUAAAGGGUGCGUAGGCGGUUUGCUAAGUUUGAUGUGAAAUCCCGGGGCUUAACCCCAGGAUUGCAUUGAAUACUGGCGGACUAGAGUACUGGAGAGGAAACUGGAAUUUACGGUGUAGCGGUGAAAUGCGUAGAUAUCGUAAGGAAGACCAGUGGCGAAGGCGAAUCUCUGGACAGUUACUGACACUGAGGCACGAAGGCCAGGGGAGCAAACGGG